rnacentral:rRNA from 1 species
AGAGUUUGAUCAUGGCUCAGAUUGAACGCUGGCGGCAGGCCUAACACAUGCAAGUCGAGCGGUAGCACAGAGAGCUUGCUCUCGGGUGACGAGCGGCGGACGGGUGAGUAAUGUCUGGGAAACUGCCUGAUGGAGGGGGAUAACUACUGGAAACGGUAGCUAAUACCGCAUAAUGUCGCAAGACCAAAGUGGGGGACCUUCGGGCCUCAUGCCAUCAGAUGUGCCCAGAUGGGAUUAGCUUGUAGGUGGGGUAACGGCUCACCUAGGCGACGAUCCCUAGCUGGUCUGAGAGGAUGACCAGCCACACUGGAACUGAGACACGGUCCAGACUCCUACGGGAGGCAGCAGUGGGGAAUAUUGCACAAUGGGCGCAAGCCUGAUGCAGCCAUGCCGCGUGUGUGAAGAAGGCCUUCGGGUUGUAAAGCACUUUCAGCGGGGAGGAAGGCGUUAAGGUUAAUAACCUUGGCGAUUGACGUUACCCGCAGAAGAAGCACCGGCUAACUCCGUGCCAGCAGCCGCGGUAAUACGGAGGGUGCAAGCGUUAAUCGGAAUUACUGGGCGUAAAGCGCACGCAGGCGGUCUGUCAAGUCGGAUGUGAAAUCCCCGGGCUUAACCUGGGAACUGCAUUCGAAACUGGCAGGCUAGAGUCUUGUAGAGGGGGGUAGAAUUCCAGGUGUAGCGGUGAAAUGCGUAGAGAUCUGGAGGAAUACCGGUGGCGAAGGCGGCCCCCUGGACAAAGACUGACGCUCAGGUGCGAAAGCGUGGGGAGCAAACAGGAUUAGAUACCCUGGUAGUCCACGCCGUAAACGAUGUCGAUUUGGAGGUUGUGCCCUUGAGGCGUGGCUUCCGGAGCUAACGCGUUAAAUCGACCGCCUGGGGAGUACGGCCGCAAGGUUAAAACUCAAAUGAAUUGACGGGGGCCCGCACAAGCGGUGGAGCAUGUGGUUUAAUUCGAUGCAACGCGAAGAACCUUACCUGGUCUUGACAUCCACAGAACUUUCCAGAGAUGGAUUGGUGCCUUCGGGAACUGUGAGACAGGUGCUGCAUGGCUGUCGUCAGCUCGUGUUGUGAAAUGUUGGGUUAAGUCCCGCAACGAGCGCAACCCUUAUCCUUUGUUGCCAGCGGUCCGGCCGGGAACUCAAAGGAGACUGCCAGUGAUAAACUGGAGGAAGGUGGGGAUGACGUCAAGUCAUCAUGGCCCUUACGACCAGGGCUACACACGUGCUACAAUGGCAUAUACAAAGAGAAGCGACCUCGCGAGAGCAAGCGGACCUCAUAAAGUAUGUCGUAGUCCGGAUUGGAGUCUGCAACUCGACUCCAUGAAGUCGGAAUCGCUAGUAAUCGUAGAUCAGAAUGCUACGGUGAAUACGUUCCCGGGCCUUGUACACACCGCCCGUCACACCAUGGGAGUGGGUUGCAAAAGAAGUAGGUAGCUUAACCUUCGGGAGGGCGCUUACCACUUUGUGAUUCAUGACUGGGGUGAAGUCGUAACAAGGUAACCGUAGGGGAACCUGCGGUUGGAUCACCU